UACGGGGGGGGCAAGCGUUGUUCGGAAUUACUGGGCGUAAAGGGCUCGUAGGUGGCCAACUAAGUCAUACGUGAAAUCCCUCGGCUUAACCGGGGAACUGCGUCUGAUACUGGAUGGCUUGAGUUUGGGAGAGGGACGCGGAAUUCCAGGUGUAGCGGUGAAAUGCGUAGAUAUCAGGAGGAACACCUGUGGCGAAAGCGGCUCACUGGACCAUAACUGACGCUGAUGCACGAAAGCUAGGGGAGCAAACAGG
rnacentral:rRNA from 1 species